rnacentral:misc_RNA from 2 species
GUUUAACCCUCACACUCUUUAAUGAGUGUGGAAAUGAGACUUCUCUUUUAAUUAGAGUGUCUUUAAACUGAUUACCUACUCUUGUUUUUCAAGACUUGUGUUAAACGGCAAGAUUACUGGAUGGUUUUAACCGUUCUUUACUUUGCUUACUAGACAUCUGAGGCGAAAGCAAGUUGAAGGCUUAAAAAGUACACGAAAGCUCGAAAGAGUUUUUAAG